AUCUAGGACCAUAUCAGACAGUUUCCUUACUCCCUUUUCAGGCACUGGUGAAACAGAUGCAGCAAAGACCAUCCCUUGAUGCACAGCCACUUCUGGUGACUGCCCGUGGGAAUCUGUCUUGCCAGCACUAGAAAACCGAAAGAAGACUCCAUUUCCAGGAAUCAGAUGUGUUGUAACUACCUCAAGCCACAAGGAGAGGCAGUUUUCUUUAAUCUCUUAGUUGUGGAAGGUGCUGCAGAUCAUGUGAUCAGAACUGGGCAUGUUCAGGACUCAGACUCUAUUUUAGAAGUUUGCUUUGAGAAGCCUGUAGAGAAGUUUGCUUUCAGACGCCAGCAGGAACAGUAUGCUUAAGAGACUGGACAAAGACUCUAUUAGACUCUCAAAACAGAGAGAUGCUUUGGACUAUGGACUGUUGAUUCCAUGGAAGGUGCCCUGUGUUACCCACACAGAGAAACAACUUCAAGUCUACUUGUAACUGGGUUGAUAAGCAAAGUACCUGUAUGCCGAAUACAUGAAAUGUGUAAGUAAACCAAAUAUGUUACUUUUAAAGAAGCCUGCUUAUUUUUAUCUCUUGAAAGCAUGAUUUAAAGACAAAUGUAUUUUAAGGAAAGUAAAUGUCAUGGGAAACCUUUACCUUUAGAUGUUCUGAAACUCUGCUGAAUAUGUAUGUAUGUAUGUAUGUAUGU